UUCAUUUUCCGCUCACACUCUCGCGAGCUAUAGCUAGCGUAUCCCUUCGGCCUUCGCGUUCUCCCGGCGCCGGAAAAAUUCAAAUUUUCAAUUACACCAGCGGCGCGUAAUUUGCGACUAUUGCUUUACCCAAAAAAUCGGAAAUAAAAUAUCGAAAUAUUUCGGAAGUUGUAAAUUUUUCGCAGAUACGAAAAUUAUUUUCUAUAUUUAAUGCGAGUAUAUAAUAUGUAGAUGUGUAUAUUUUGGAUGAAAACACGCGCAGAAUAAAGCUAGCUUUGCCGUGUAUAUAACUGAAACUAAUGACAGCGCGGACAUUUCAGCGGAGGGGAACGUGAAAUCUGUACCGAAAACGGAGUUCGUUUCACCCCGAUUUCGAAGUAGGGGUUGUUUAAAAUAGUCACCCUCUUGAUAACAAACCACUGUCGAACGUAUUAUCAGCGUUGUUAGUUUCUUAUUGUUCAUUUCGGUUCGAGCGGUCGUCAUGAUAUGCAUCGCUUGCGUCCAGCGGCACACACGAAACAUGUCAGGAAGAAGAUGGGACACGCGAUGAUAUAUUCUCUAGCCACUAUUAGAUAUGUUUGAUAUUCUUUGGUUGUUGUCUAAUAAAUCAACCAAGAAUCAAACAUAUUCUCAUAGCGGCAGAUGAUUAAAAUGUAGAGGAAUUCGAAGAUACGAGAACGAGUUGUCAAUAAAAUACAAAAAUACGCGGUCCGUAAGCAGAAUUGGACUAUAGAUAAUUUUUAAAAAUAAAUACUUGUAUAAUUACAGCACUAGAUAAACCUUGUAUAAUUACAGCACUAGAUAAACCAUAGGUAAAUUUAUAAGUUAAAAAAAAUGUCAAAAGUAUAUAUUUUUUUUCUUCUUAAUCAUUGUAGCUUACCGAUAUCUGCAUAAUAUUUGUAAUUCAAAAUCAAAAUAUAAAUGUUGCUAUUUA